GCUAACUCUGUGCCAGCAGCCGCGGUAAUACAGAGGGUGCAAGCGUUANUNGGAAUUACUGGGCGUAAAGCGAGCGUAGGUGGCUUGAUAAGUCAGAUGUGAAAUCCCCGGGCUUAACCUGGGAACUGCAUCUGAUACUGUUAAGCUAGAGUAGGUGAGAGGGAAGUAGAAUUCCAGGUGUAGCGGUGAAAUGCGUAGAGAUCUGGAGGAAUACCGAUGGCGAAGGCAGCUUCCUGGCAUCAUACUGACACUGAGGCUCGAAAGCGUGGGUAGCAAACAGGAUUAGAUACCCUGGUAGUCCACGCCGUAAACGAUGUCUACUAGUCGUUGGGUCCCUUGAGGACUUAGUGACGCAGCUAACGCAAUAAGUAGACCGCCUGGGGAGUACGGCCGCAAGGUUAAAACUCAAAUGAAUUGACGGGGGCCCGCACAAGCGGUGGAGCAUGUGGUUUAAUUCGAUGCAACGCGAAGAACCUUACCUGGUCUUGACAUAUCUAGAAUCCUGCAGAGAUGCGGGAGUGCCUUCGGGAAUUAGAAUACAGGUGCUGCAUGGCUGUCGUCAGCUCGUGUCGUGAGAUGUUGGGUUAAGUCCCGCAACGAGCGCAACCCUUGUCCUUAGUUACCAGCGGGUUAAGCCGGGAACUCUAAGGAUACUGCCAGUGACAAACUGGAGGAAGGCGGGGACGACGUCAAGUCAUCAUGGCCCUUACGACCAGGGCUACACACGUGCUACAAUGGUAGGUACAGAGGGCAGCUACACAGCGAUGUGAUGCGAAUCUCAAAAAGCCUAUCGUAGUCCAGAUUGGAGUCUGCAACUCGACUCCAUGAAGUAGGAAUCGCUAGUAAUCGCGGAUCAGAAUGCCGCGGUGAAUACGUUCCCGGGCCUUGUACACACCGCCCGUCACACCAUGGGAGUUGAUUGCACCAGAAGUGGUUAGCCGA
rnacentral:rRNA from 1 species